rnacentral:ncRNA from 1 species
UUAUAAACUGUGAAUGAGAGAGUAGAUAUUAGAAAGUUUUAAGGGAGAAUAAGUCAUAGACUGUAAGCUUAUUCAAAUGGAAUAAUAUUGAAGUUCACUCAGGAGUUCUAGCUGUGAAAUUAAGUAGUAGCUAGCGGUAAAUGCCGUUAAAUUUUAAGUUGGAUUCGUAUGAUGUAUUUUUAGGUAUUAUUAUACGUUUCAAUUAGGGUGGUAACGCGGAUAAUUCGUCCCUUUU